rnacentral:lncRNA from 1 species
AGAGAGAGAGAGAGAGAGAGAGCUAGCCUCCUAUACUAUUUAUAGUACCGGGGUUCUGGUACUAUAGUUUCAUUUUCGAUUUUAGGGUGUUCAAAUUAAUGAUCCACACCGUUAAAACUGAUCUAGAAUAUUUAAAGUUUUUAGAAAUAAAAUUUUAUAUUUUUUUCGACAUAGUUUACUUUAUGAUCAAACCAUUUCAAAAUUGUCAAUUUUCAAUGACUAUUAUGGCGAGUUUGGAGUUUAACGGUAUAGAAGAAUCUAAAUUUUUUCAAAUUUUGAUAGAAAAUAUUUUAAACUAUCUAGAUUAAGAUUAACAUUCUUAAUCUUGAAUUUAAAAGUCCUAUACUCAAAUUUUAAAGAUUAUUCAAUUUUCACUGUCUAUUUUGACAUAAUUUAUUUACUAAGUAAACGAUGUCGAAAAAAAUUAAAAUUUUAUUCCUAAAAAUUUCAUAUACCCUAGAUCAUAUUUAAUGGUGUGGAUUGUUAAUUUGAACACUCUAAGAUUGAAAGCAAGACUAUAGUACCGGAGCUCCUGUACUAUAGAUAGUAUAGUAGCCUAAUUAUAUAUAUAUAUAUAUAUUGCAUGUUGACCAAUCUAUUCU